rnacentral:rRNA from 1 species
GACGAACGCUGGCGGCGUGCCUAAUACAUGCAAGUCGAGCGGACUUUCAAGAAGCUUGCUUUUUGAAAGUUAGCGGCGGACGGGUGAGUAACACGUGGGCAACCUGCCUGUAAGACGGGGAUAACUCCGGGAAACCGGGGCUAAUACCGGAUAAUAUCUUUCUUCGCAUGCAGGAAGGUUGAAAGGCGGCGCAAGCUGCCGAUUGCAGAUGGGCCCGCAGCGCAUUAGCUAUUUGGUGAGGUAACGGCUCACCAAGGCGACGAUGCGUAGCCGACCUGAGAGGGUGAUCGGCCACACUGGGACUGAGACACGGCCCAGACUCCUACGGGAGGCAGCAGUAGGGAAUCUUCCGCAAUGGACGAAAGUCUGACGGAGCAACGCCGCGUGAGCGAAGAAGGUCUUCGGAUCGUAAAGCUCUGUUGUCAGGGAAGAACAAGUACCGUUCGAAUAGGGCGGUACCUUGACGGUACCUGACCAGAAAGCCACGGCUAACUACGUGCCAGCCGCCGCGGUAA